rnacentral:rRNA from 1 species
AUUGAACGCUGGCGGCAUGCUUUACACAUGCAAGUCGAACGGCAGCACGGGUGCUUGCACCUGGUGGCGAGUGGCGAACGGGUGAGUAAUGCAUCGGAACGUGCCCAUGAGUGGGGGAUAGCCCGGCGAAAGCCGGAUUAAUACCGCAUACGCCCUUAGGGGGAAAGCGGGGGAUCUUCGGACCUCGCGCUAUUGGAGCGGCCGAUGUCGGAUUAGCUAGUAGGUGAGGUAAAGGCUCACCUAGGCGACGAUCCGUAGCUGGUCUGAGAGGAUGAUCAGCCACACUGGGACUGAGACACGGCCCAGACUCCUACGGGAGGCAGCAGUGGGGAAUUUUGGACAAUGGGCGCAAGCCUGAUCCAGCCAUGCCGCGUGAGUGAAGAAGGCCUCGGUUGUAAGCUCUUUCAGGUGGAAGAAAUAGACGCUGUUAAUAGUAUGGCGUUGAUGACGGUACC